GUCCAAGAUAUAGUCCCCAAAAGUUGAUUUCAAAAAUAUAUCACAUUUGCAGAGUGAAACUUGUCAAGUAACCAGGCAAUAACUUUAAUAAAUUUUCAUAUAAUUUUGAAAAAUUAUUUUGUUACGAUGAUAUUAUUUACGGUAGUUUCUUACAUUAUAGUAUUUGGGAUACAAGGAAUGCAUCCCAAAGCUGAUGAGGAGCGCUUUUCUUUGGCUGAAGGAGGAUUACAGUUUCCUGUUUGCGGAAAUUGUUCAAAAGUAAGAAAUGUUCGGUCUGGUUUGGGUUUUGCUUGCCAUUCUGCCGAUGAAUUUGCAGUGGCUAGUGUUGAGCAAGUUGAAGUCUUUAAAAAUUCACAUAUGGAAUGCAUACCAAAAACUUACAAAUUAGUUCGCUAUAUAACUAACUUUUGCUGCUUUUGGUCGCCAGAAACGGGAUGUGCGGUAAUUAUUGGCAGGCGUUAUUAUGGUAAAGACGAUCUGUACUGCCAGAUCUGCAAGGAUUAUUGUCUUGGAACGAAACAAUUAGGUGCUGAUAAUGACAGAAGUUAUAAGAUCUCUGCAUUUGGAUACUUAAUUGCGAUGGCUUUGGUCGUACUCUGGAUGUGUCCAAGGGAACUCAAAUGAGUUAUAUUAGCAGACUGUGGUUAAGUAUACUAGUCUUAGUUAUAGUCUAAUCCAAAAAGGAAAAAGUUGAUUUGAAAAAUAUAUUAAAUUUGCCAGAGUAAAACUUGUCAAUAACCAGACAAUAACCUAAAUAAAUUAGAUAUUUUCAUUGAUUUGCAAUGAUAUUAUCUGCGGUAGUUCUUUGCAUUACCUUUGGGAUACAAGGAAUGCAUACCAAAACUGAUAAGGACCGCUUUUCUGUAGCUGAAGGAGGAUUACACUUUCCUGUUUGCGGAAAUUGUUCAAAAGUAAGAAAUUUUCAGUCUGGCUUGGGUUUCGCUUGCCAUUCUGCAGAUAAUUCUGCCGUGACUGAUGUUGGGCUAAUUGACGUUAAUAAAAAACCAGGACUAGAAUGCCUACCAAGCGCUUACCAAUUAGUUCGCGAUAUAGAAAACUUUUGCUGCUUUUGGUCGCCAGAAACGGGAUGUGCGGUAAUUAUUGGCAGGCGUUACUAUGAUAAAAAGAGACUCUACUGCAUGGUCUGCAAGGAUUUUUGUCUUGGAUCGAGAAACUUUGCUGAUGAUAAGAACGGAAGUUAUAAGAUCUCUGCAUUUGGAUACUUAAUUGCGAUGGCUUUGUUCGUUCUCUGGAUGGGUCCAAGGGAACCCAAUUGAGUUAUAUUAGCAGACUGUGGUUAAGUAAAGUAUAGCUGUAUUUGUUGUAUAUUUGAAAAAUAUAUUAAAUUUGCCAGAGUGAAACUUGUCAAGUAGCCAGACUAUAACUUUACAAAAUUUUCAUUUAAUUUUGCAAAAUUAUUUUGUUACGAUGAUAUUAUUUACGGUAGUUGUUUACGUUACCUUUGGGAUACAAGGAAUGCAUCUCAAAGCUGAAUCGGAUCCCUUUUCUGUAGCUGAAGGAGGAUUACAGUUUCCUGUUUGCGGAAAUUGUUCAAGAGUAAGAAAUGAUCAUGCAGGUUUGGGCUUCGCUUGCCAUUCUGCAGAUGAAUCUGCAGUGUCUAAA